rnacentral:misc_RNA from 1 species
CGCACCUUGCGCCACGUGGUAUUCCACGGGGCACGCCUGUUUGAGUGUCACGUAAACCCAUCGCGUCGCGGAUUGUCAUGAUCUGCGGGGCGGAUUUGGACGCUGCCGUAGUUGGCUCGUCUCGAAAUACAUUAGCUGUCUUACGACACGCGCCGUUGGUGUGAUAAUUUACUUUGCGCCGCUGGUGAGUGACUGUAGAAGGCUUAUAACCGCCCGCAAGGGCAACGUAACAUUAAUGCUUUGGCCUCAAAUCAGGUGGGACUACCCGCUGAACUUAA